GACUUGCUGGUGUAGUCGGUUAUCACGCCUGUCUCACACACAGGCGGUCGCCGGUUCGAAUCCGGCGCAAGUCA